GAUGAACGCUAGCGGGAGGCUUAACACAUGCAAGUCGAGGGGCAGCAUAGGGUAGCAAUACUCUGAUGGCGACCGGCAAACGGGUGAGUAACGCGUAUGCAACCUACCCUGUACAGGGGGAUAACCCGGAGAAAUUCGGACUAAUAUCCCGUAAUAAUAUCCGGAGGCAUCUUUGGAUAUUUAAAGUUCCGACGGUACGGGAUGGGCAUGCGUAACAUUAACUGGUUGGUAAGGUAACGGCUUACCAAGGCUAUGAUGUUUAGGGGUCCUGAGAGGGUGGUCCCCCACACUGGUACUGAGACACGGACCAGACUCCUACGGGAGGCAGCAGUGAGGAAUAUUGGUCAAUGGGCGCAAGCCUGAACCAGCCAUCCCGCGUGCAGGAAGACGGCCCUAUGGGUUGUAAACUGCUUUUCCAGGGAGAGAAACUUACGCACGUGUUGCGUGACUGACGGUACCCUGGGAAUAAGCAUCGGCUAACUCCGUGCCAGGAGCCGCGGUAAUCUAGUCUACG
rnacentral:rRNA from 1 species